rnacentral:rRNA from 1 species
UGCAGUCGAGCGGACAGAAGGGAGCUUGCUCCCGGAUGUUAGCGGCGGACGGGUGAGUAACACGUGGGUAACCUGCCUGUAAGACUGGGAUAACUCCGGGAAACCGGAGCUAAUACCGGAUAGUUCCUUGAACCGCAUGGUUCAAGGAUGAAAGACGGUUUCGGCUGUCACUUACAGAUGGACCCGCGGCGCAUUAGCUAGUUGGUGAGGUAACGGCUCACCAAGGCGACGAUGCGUAGCCGACCUGAGAGGGUGAUCGGCCACACUGGGACUGAGACACGGCCCAGACUCCUACGGGAGGCAGCAGUAGGGAAUCUUCCGCAAUGGACGAAAGUCUGACGGAGCAACGCCGCGUGAGUGAUGAAGGUUUUCGGAUCGUAAAGCUCUGUUGUUAGGGAAGAACAAGUGCAAGAGUAACUGCUUGCACCUUGACGGUACCUAACCAGAAAGCCACGGCUAACUACGUGCCAGCAGCCGCGGUAAUACGUAGGUGGCAAGCGUUGUCCGGAAUUAUUGGGCGUAAAGGGCUCGCAGGCGGUUUCUUAAGUCUGAUGUGAAAGCCCCCGGCUCAACCGGGGAGGGUCAUUGGAAACUGGGAAACUUGAGUGCAGAAGAGGAGAGUGGAAUUCCACGUGUAGCGGUGAAAUGCGUAGAGAUGUGGAGGAACACCAGUGGCGAAGGCGACUCUCUGGUCUGUAACUGACGCUGAGGAGCGAAAGCG